rnacentral:tRNA from 1 species
GUGUCUUGGCUUAGUGGGUAUGGCUUGGGACUUGAGAUCAUAAGAUCCCAGGUUCGAAAUUCGCCAUGGGCAGACAUA